rnacentral:rRNA from 1 species
GACGAACGCUGGCGGCGCGCCUAACACAUGCAAGUCGAACGAGCGAGAGAGAGCUUACUUUCUUGAGCGAGUGGCGAACGGGUGAGUAACGCGUGAGGAACCUGCCUCAAAGAGGGGGACAACAGUUGGAAACGACUGCUAAUACCGCAUAAGCCCACGACCCGGCAUCGGGUUGAGGGAAAAGGAGCAAUCCGCUUUGAGAUGGCCUCGCGUCCGAUUAGCUAGUUGGCGGGGUAACGGCCCACCAAGGCGACGAUCAGUAGCCGGACUGAGAGGUUGAACGGCCACAUUGGGACUGAGACACGGCCCAG